GGCCUUAAGAAGCGUCGUGCGUUUCCAUUUGCCUCCCUGUGCCUCUGUCAUCACAAUGAGAAGAAUAUGCCCUAACUGGCCCUGAGUCCCCGAAGAAGGAUUAGAGAAACGUGGAGCAGAGCCCCGAGUCUGAAGUGAGAGCUACCCCUAGCUGAUCCAUGAACUGAGCAAGGAAGUUGUUCACACAUGUAUGCCACUGAGACUUUGGCACUGUUCUUCUGUGGCACUAGUUGACCAAAACAGCUUUCUGCAAAUGGGAUGGGAGCAUCGCUAAUGCUCAGUGAUCUGGGAACAUGGCAUUAAUUGAUAAUGAUCAAGAAGACACUCUUUCACCACCAAUAUGAAACCCUGGGGAAGUCAAUUGAAGUGGAAAACUAUAUAUUUUGUGCAGAGGCUUCAAAGAAGGGGAAAUUAUGGUUUCAUUAGAUCAUCCCUCCAUUCUGCAAGCGUAGAGCAGGUCUGUGCAAUUGACUUUUUGAGGCCACUCUGUAAGCCUGCGCUGGGACGCAGUGAGCGCUUACCAUGAAACGGAUCAUUAAUUCUCCUCCUAUUUUGCUGCAUUGAAGCAGAAGAUGAUUAUUAACCUAGCAACAUGGGGAAACAGCUAAGGCUUUCUAAGCCCUUGGGAUGGAGAGACACUGCUAAUUAUGUGUGGCAAUCCGAUUUUUCUUCCUCUUUUAUAAAGGCAACGUUGUCCUCUUCGUCUUUCUAAGUCCUGUGCUGCGGCUAGCAGUGCAGUCUGAUGUAAGAAGGUUUGUGUCCCGCUCAAAGGUCCUUUUUCAUAAUAUUUGGACUAUAUGUAAGUGGGUGGGAUUUUUUCUGUCUUUUGAGGGCAGCCUGGGUUUGAAGAAGGGGCAAGUGAGGAGGGUGAGGGGGGUGCAUAUACGGAGAGUUGCACAGGAGUCGCUGACACAAAGUUGAACUGGGAAUGGAAAGCACUUCAGACACUGCCUCCUUGUUCCUCUGUACCAUCCUUGGGAGAAGCUUUAUGAAUGUGGGUCAACCCAACCAGCUGGGUUACUGGAGAGAGAGCUGAAGCUGGGCUGUAGGCGUGUGGCAUCCGGGGGCCAAGAGCUGCAGUUGUGAAGAACAAAGUCGGGGCAUGUCUGGCCUUCUAGGUAUUCCAGGCCAUGUCCAGUGGCAGGUGUGUCUGCGCUAGGGGACCAGACGUGGGAGAGGAGGCCUUACUUGAGUCUAUUGAGGUAUAAAUCUGGUUUAUUGCACACAUAUGGUAAGGAAUGAAGGAAAGGGGCUGGUGGCCAGUAAGCCAAGGGUUUUGGAGCCACAGAGCAGGGCAAUGACCACAGCAAGAGCAGCUGAGGGCUGGCCUGGCAAGAGAACAGGACAGCGUUCCUGAUUUUCUCUCCACCCUGGUGAGCUUGACUGGGGCAUGGACUGGGGCACGGAUGGUGAAUGAGCUCUUAGAUUCUUUGACCCAUUACGGAAAGGCGGUGGGAUCCUUGGAAAAGGAAAAUAAAUGUUCUUAUAGAAUAAGAAGGCUUGAGCCGUUUGACUUUAAGGAUAGAAGAGAUUUGACCUACUGUUUAAGCCAGGCUGAGUGAAUGAGUCAAGCCGGCUACAGAGACCAUAUCAUAAUGAAGUGCAGCGAAGUCUCUCAACUCCUCAUACUUUGCUAAUGCUGAGAAGUUCUGGAAAUGUCCAUCUGGAAGAACAUAUUCUCAGGAGUCACUGGAGUUAAAGACUGCAGUAGUUAGCUAUUGCUGCAUAACAAAUUACCACGAACGUAGCAGCUUCAAAUCUAUAGUCUACCCUCAUUCUUUGCAGAUUCUGCACCUGCUAAUAUCUUGAGAUAGAGCAAAUAAAAUUUAUUGAGAAUCCUCAAAAACUCAAUACUUGCAGUGCUUUCAUCAUCAUUUGCAGACUUGUGCAGAGUAGCAAAAAAUUCACGUCACCCAGUGUGCACACUCCCAGCUGGGGUUGGACAAGGAUAUUUGUUCCCAACCCUUUCCAGAACCCUAUUCUUAAUUCCAAAUUCAGUGAGAGGCAAUCAAUUCUAUGCAGACGCUGAGCAUUCGCAGCAUCGCAGCCUGAUCAAAGUGUGUCUGGUACUGGUCCAGGAAGAAAACACAGCAAAUAGCCCUGGAAAACAAGGAGCUUUAGCUUGAGGGUCCAGCGCCCCUCCCCCAGCUUUCAUCCCCGCUCAACCUCAGAGAUGAGCAAAUACAGCUUCAGAAGGGGCCGACCACUAAAAGGAGGACCACUGCAACAGGUGGAAUAAUUUCUAAACUCCUGUUGUCCUUCUUUGUUUGGAUAACUCCAUCCUUUUUCUCAGUCUAUCUGAAGGAGAUUGAACCGUGCCAUUAUUUAGUCUUAUUUUCUUUGGGACCUGGAAGGCAGCCUUGCUAUCAUUUACCUAGUUUUCAGCCAUGUGGACACAAAUCAAAACUCUAUCAGGAAAGUAAUAGGUGUCACUUGUCCCUGUUUUGAGGACUGAUGGAGGCUCAGCAGUCAUCCUGCCACAAGGAAUUGAAGGAAGUCAAUCUCUGUUUCAUUGUCCUGAAGCUAUUUCUCACCGAAGGGACGCUGGAUUUUUACCCACUUCGAUUAAUGAAAGAAACUUCUAGUUCUGGCACUCUUUGUUAGGAGGAAAGAUAAAUAAGGAAAGGAUUUACCUACAACCCGGCCUCGUGAUGAAAUAAUGAAUGGUCAGUGCCAGGAGGUUUUAGAAAGCAGGGUUCUUCCUUCUUCUCUCAAGUGGUCCAGAUGUUGGAACCUCACCUCUGGGAGGACGUGUUCCAAAGCACAUCCAGGUCUCCCAGUGGGAUCACGUGGAAACUUCAGUGGGCCCUGCUGUAUUCUAAGUGGGGGUGUCACUCUGAGGUUGUCAAAUCUCCCAGGGAACCAUGGGGUGAUGGUCUCUAUGCAUCCCGCCUGACGUGUGGUGGGCAUGAAUGCUGCCUUGUGUGGUACGGCAUAUUUGGUUUGCUUCCUAGCAGUGUUUAUCUGGCUUGUUUUUUUGUCCUUGGGAGUUUUGCUAAGAAUGGUGAUGAGUGGACAGUCAACAAUCCCGGAAUCUGGGUUAGAUAAACUCCAUGACUUGGACAGCUUCUACAAGUCUUCUCAAAAAGGGUCUUACGGCCUCAGAAAAUGAGCUUGAAAUGUAUUUUGGUCUCACUCAAAAGAAAUCCCCAAUUCUGCAGCUCUUUUUGUGACAAUAUCUUGCUAGCAGAGAGCACCCUUAGGACAGGACCUUCCUGGGAUGGCUCCCUUGUCCUCGUGCUCAGAAAGAAGUGGACAGCAAGUUGGGGUCAGUGAUCGCCUCUAUUCCGGGCUGUGGAUGAAGCAUUCUUCUCUGAGGUAGGGCAUCAGGGUGGGUAUAUCUGGGGAAAGAGGUGAGAUAAUGAGAUAAUAGCAGGCCAGUGGACCCGGAAGAAUCCUAAUUCCCCCUCAGCCCAUCUCCCCUUCCCCUGAGGUCUGCGAGGGAGGUACAUGCUCAGAGGACAAUCUCCUGGGGGAUCGGUGUAUCCCAGCUGCAGCUCUGAUCUCACGCGCUAAGCUCCAGCAUGGUCUUCAGAGCUGGCAAAGGUUGGAUCACGUGGUGAACCAACCUUGGCCUGAAAGAUUAGGCCAGAGAAACCAUUUUACCCUGAGGCUGAGAUGUAGUUGUUCCUGGUGUUCGUCCCAGGCCACCCAAAUGUCGGGGAAGCUCACCCGUGAACUUCUAACCUCAGCCCCAUGAGGAGAAGAAGACAAAGCGAGCUUAGAAAAGCCAAGGAGAGGUGGUGGUCUGGGAAUCCAGCCAAACUGCAAAGAAAAUCUCCCAAAGAGAAAAUCCAUACCCUCUGCUUGACCUUUAACUUCCUGACUUUAGGGCUGUAGCCCAGGGGACUGUUCGUUCAUUUCACCUACCUCUUCUUGUGUGAACUGGGGAAAGGGGGGUGGAUAGGGAGAUGCGGAGGGACAGGAGGCUUGAGGCAGCAGUCCCUCCAUCCUUGAUUUCUCUCUGAGAGGCCAAGGGGCUUAAUACUGGACUUGGGAUCAAGCAGGAGCAUUGCUUUUCCUCUAACUCCAGGAUGUGGGCAUGAGCAAUGUGUUAGGGGAGGCCUGCUCACAUCACCUUGGGUGUAGAUUCCCCAGUCCUUACCAACAUACCUGAGCCCCAUCAAGGACCGGUGAAUGCCUUUUUAAUAGUUCCGCUGAAAGACUUCAAGCUGACCAGAACACUCUUGCAGACAGGCUGCCUGGUGAACAUGUACGCACAAGGUGGGGAAGAGCUGUCUCUGCUCAUUUCAUCUAGUCCCAGGGUCCGCAGAGAUCCUCUAGGGGGUGGGGGCUCCCACAGGGGGACCCCCAGCACAUGACAGCACAAGUUAAAUAGUACAGUUCUGCAAAGGAAAAAAAAAUCUCACUUAUAUGUGGAAUCUAAAAAACAAACAAAGGAAAAACCAAACUCAUAGAUAUAGUGAACAAAUUGAUGAUUGCGGGGGGUUGGGGGUUGAGGGGAAUGGGCAGAAUGGGUAAGGGUGAUCAAAAGGUACAAACUUGCAGUUACAAAAUAAAUAAGUCACGGGGAUGCAACGUACAAUGUGGCGACUAUAGUUAAUAAUACCAUAUUGUGUAUUUCAAAGUUGUUAAGAGAGUAAAUCUUGAAAGUCCUCAUCACAGGGAAAAAGAUUUGUAACUAUGGGUGGUGGUGUCUGUUAACUAGACUUAUUGUGGUGAUCAUUUCACAAUAUAUACUAAUACAGAAUUAUUAUGUCGCACACCUGAAACUAAUAUCAUGUUAUAUGUUGAUUAUAUCUCAAUAAAAAAAAUGACACAGAACCAC
rnacentral:lncRNA from 1 species